GAACAGAUGGCGGAGUGGUAAGCGCUAAGCCGAAAGCUGAGUUUUGUAGGUUCGAAUCCUGCUCUGUUCA
rnacentral:tRNA from 1 species